rnacentral:lncRNA from 13 species
GAUUCUUCCAAUCAUUGCCCUGCUUCCCUGUUUUUUGUUUGUUUGUUUGAGACAAAGUUUCACUCUUGUUGCCCAGGAUGCACUGCAAUGGCGCGAUCUCGGCUCACCACAACCUCCACCUCCUGUGUUCAAGCAAUUCUCCUGCAUCAGCCUCCUGAGUAGCUGGGAUUACAGGCAUGCACCACCACACCCAGGCCUCAGGACACCUGGAAUAGCAAGGACAGUUUUAAAUACCCUCUGUCCUUCAGACCACAUUGGAGCAUCCUGACAGGGUCUGGGAGCUGGGAAACAGGCCCUGAGCUGACGGAUCUGGAGAUGCCCACGUGCUCCUGCACAGCCUAUGCAGCUGUGACCCUUGGGCUGUUAGUGAGAAAACUUACUUUUACAUUUAAUCUUGGUUUUCUUUCCUUAAAUCAAAGAGUGCUGAGGGAUAAAGCGGCGAAGCAUGAUGAGAGAGGGACGAGUUUAAUUAAUGUGUGCAAGGUAUAGAGUACAUACAUUAUAUAUGCACAAGUUAAAGAAUAAUAGCAAAAUGAACAAUGUUUACAACUCUAAACAACUUAACAAAAAGAAUAUUAUCAAUACCUUAAAGCUGUCCCUGAUCACAUCCCUGCCUCCAUCCCCUCAAAGGUAACUAC